rnacentral:rRNA from 1 species
AGUGAACGCUGGCGGUAGGCCUAACACAUGCAAGUCGAACGGCAGCACAGUAAGAGUUUGCUCUUACGGGUGGCGGGUGGCGGACGGGUGAGGCAUACAUCGGAAUCUUCUUUUUCGUGGGGGAUAACGUAGGGAAAGUUACGCUACUACCGCAUAUGAUCUACGGGUGAAAGCAGGGGAUCUUCGCACCUUGCGCGAUUGAAUGAGCCGAUGUCGGAUUAGCUAGUUGGGUGGGUAAAGGCCCACCAAGGCGACGAUCCGUAGCUGGUCUGAGAGGAUGAUCAGCCACACUGGAACUGAGACACGGUCCAGACUCCUACGGGAGGCAGCAGUGGGGAAUAUUGGGCAAUGGGCGCAAGCCUGAUCCAGCCAUACCGCGUGAGUGAAGAAGGCCUUCGGGUUGUAAAGCCCUUUUGUUGGGAAAGAAAAGCAGCAGGUUAAUACCCCGCUGUUCUGACGGUACCCAAAGAAUAAGCACCGGCUAACUUCGUG